AAAUUGAAGAGUUUGAUCAUGGCUCAGAUUGAACGCUGGCGGCAGGCCUAACACAUGCAAGUCGAACGGUAGCACAGAGAGCUUGCUCUCGGGUGACGAGUGGCGGACGGGUGAGUAAUGUCUGGGAAACUGCCUGAUGGAGGGGGAUAACUACUGGAAACGGUAGCUAAUACCGCAUAACGUCGCAAGACCAAAGAGGGGGACCUUCGGGCCUCUUGCCAUCAGAUGUGCCCAGAUGGGAUUAGCUAGUAGGUGGGGUAACGGCUCACCUAGGCGACGAUCCCUAGCUGGUCUGAGAGGAUGACCAGCCACACUGGAACUGAGACACGGUCCAGACUCCUACGGGAGGCAGCAGUGGGG
rnacentral:rRNA from 1 species